rnacentral:lncRNA from 1 species
CUACCAAAAAUAAUUAUAUAGUUAUCCUUGGGCGAUCUUGAAUCUUAAUUAGUACACUCACGUUCCCUGUGGAAAAUCGAUACUCUGGAAUACUCCCGGGUGAAAGCUACAUCGGUAUCCGUGCGCUUGCGGAUUUUUUCUGUUUGCGUUUAAAAUACCCAACUGGAUUACAAGUAGCAAUGUUUGAAAUCCUUCAGCAUAAACAGGAGUGGCGAGGUG